UACGUAGGGUGCGAGCGUUAAUCGGAAUUACUGGGCGUAAAGCGUGCGCAGGCGGUUUUGUAAGCCAGAUAUGAAAGCCCCGGGCUUAACCUGGGAAUGGCAUUUGGGACUGCAAGGCUUGAGUGCGGCAGAGGAGACUGGAAUUCAUGGUGUAGCAGUGAAAUGCGUAGAGAUCAUGAGGAAGACCAGUGGCGAAGGCGGGUCUCUGGACAGUUCCUGACACUGAGACACGAAGGCCAGGGGAGCAAACGGG
rnacentral:rRNA from 1 species